GGAAGGAGGAGGCAGCCAGAGAGGCCUCCACUGUUCUCUGCAGCAGAAGACCCCCUGCUGCCAGAACUGAUGCUGAACAAACUUUCUGAGCUGGAAAUAAGACAGAAGACAACAGACGUUGCAUUCCUGCAAUGCUGCAAAAUAUUUUCAAUAGACAAUACUUGAAGUCAAAGUCAAAGAACAAUUUGUUUUAUCAGAUCUUACAUGCUUUUUAAUUUGCAACCAUUUAUGGAUAAUGACUGUUCUUACUGCUUUCAAAGAGUUAUUUUAGACCAUCUUAUCUAAAUUUUAACUAUGUGCUAACUCGACCAGACCUGUCAGCUUUAAACUGCAAUCCUAAACACUACUGAUUGGAAAUACAUUCAACUGAAAUCAGUGGCGAUUAUCUGCAAGUAAAUGUUUUAUGUUUGGAAUAUUUAUUUCAAACACCCUGAAUAAUCACCAACUCUCGUAAGAGGGCAAAAUUAUGAACAAAGCCCUAAAUAAAAAAAGAUAUGUUUAUGUUUAAAGAAAUAAAACCAGCCAUUGCUAUGUCCAAAAAUAUCUUGUUUAUGAGUGCCCAGAGAGGAGGCUCAUGGGGUUGUUCAUAUGCAGCAAAUAUUCAUACUGUGAUUUAAUAUGAUAGAUAUUCUUGAUACCAGCAGAAACACUUAAGGCUAUUGUCGAAAGGGCAGAACAAAAUGUACCAGGUGUUCAAAAGUACUUAUAGUCAUGAAAAAAUAGACCAGUAAAAUACAAAGCAACAGGGAAGACUCACACAAAUAUUUCAGUAUAUUACAGCAUGGCUAUUGACUCUUGCUUACUAUCCAGGUUUCAUGACUAGCUUUUAUAGCUGUCAUGCUGCUUGCCUCAGCCAGCCUUUAUAAAAAUCAAUUCUUAAUGUGUCUGCUGACACCAUGUGUUUACACAAACAAGACAUCACUCAGCUCAUCCGGGCUCUAUGCUUUCAUAUAGCCUGCUAUGGGUCCUGCAAUGCUUUAGAAUUUUGCCACUAGGCUUUGUAGUUUGGCAGAUAGUUUGAAGAACAUAACAAUUUUCCUGUACUGAUAAAAACAAAAGAAAUCAUCCCCCCCAUCUUGUUUUUGGAAGUACAGUAUCUCUUAUUAACUUCUAAAUUAAGCAGACAUUAAGUACAGAAGGAAAGUGUGGGGGAGAGAACCAAGAGAACCUUCAUAAGCAAGAAGCAAAAUACUAAUUCUAACAGAAAGCAUCCAUUGGAGAAGUCAAUUCAUUCUUACCUGCCAGCUGUAAGAAAGGAGCUAGAUGUUUGCCCUUUACAAAGACACUGGGUUCUUGGAAGACUCCAGAAAUUUCACUUGCAUGACCAAGAAUGAGGGUAUCCAGUUCAGAAGAACACACAGACAGAAGCCUUUCCUCCCCUAGAUCUACCAGUGACUGAAGUAAUGCAGGAAAUAGGGAAGAAAGCAGAAGAGGAACGUAGUUCCUGUUCAGAGAAAUACCAGUCAGAAGAAACAGGAGGUAGGAACUCUCUCUUGUGUUUCACCCAGGUUUUUGUCUGCAAGUUUUGUUGUUGUUGCGUUGCCACCACCCACAACUGUUGCUCUGUGGUGUUAGGCUUUAGCAGUGAAGUUCUGAGAUUGCAUUUCCCCUCUUCUGGUCUCCUCGCACACCGUUAAGAGCAAUGACUUGGUUGAGCUCAGCUUGCUUGUGCUAUAUUUAACCAGUGUUCUCAGCAAGUCAAGCCUGUCAACAGCUGAGAAGUUUGGAGCAGGCUUUGCUGUGUUCUUCAGCUGCUGAAUUAUCAUUGGAUAUAGAACUGCACUGUAUGUCUAUCCCAGUACUGUAUAUGCAAAGAAAGAUUGCAAAAGAAUCUCACGUAUGUUUAAGGUUUUUCUGUGAGUGUAAACCAUCAGACACAAGCUGCUUGUAUAUAUUCUAAAAAGAAAGGGGGGUGGGUGGGGUGCCAUAGUGGUUUCAGUAGAUCAAUAUCUCCCACCACCACCAUUUACAGUAAGGAUUUAAAAGAUAUAUACAGGAAACAUCAUUUGAAAGGCCUGUGAUAUUCAUUAGAAAGAUAUGACACACAAGCAGCAUGUUAGGACGGUUUUGCCUACUUUGAAGUAAAUUAAAUAGUUUUGUGUGUGGAAUGCUAACAGGGCUUACACGAGGCGCUUUGGUGUUUUAGUAUCCUGUUUACAUAAUCAGCUAUCCUGGGAUAGAAAUCCAUGAAUCUACUUCAAUAUCUGAUUUGUUUAUACAUUCAGAGGGUGAAACAUAGGUCAGAGUGAGUUUAAGGAGAGAGAGAAAGAGAGAGUAGAUGCACGCAACCCUUGCAGGAGUUCUUGACUUUUUUUCAUUCUAGGGUAAGUGAUCAUGUAAACCAGGGUAGCCAAUGUGUGGCUCUCCAGAUGUUGCUCACCAGAGACAACAAAUAUGACUGCUUACAUCCGGGCUAGGCAACGUGCAGUUCUUCAGAUGUUACUGAACUACAUCUCCCAUCACCCCCAGCCACAAGUUAUUACACCACAGGGGUGAUUGGAGUUGUAGUUCCCCAUCAUCCCUGGGUGUAAUAACUUAUGGCUGGGGUUCAGCAACAUCUGGAAAAUGGCACGUUGCCUACCCUGGAUGUAAACAAUCAUAUUUGUUGUCUCUGGUGAGUUGCGUUCCCAAUUAUAUGGAAAGCACCAGUCCGCCCUGAGCCAUUUUUGGAAGGGCAGUAUAGAAAUUGAAUGAAUGAAUGAUGACCCAAAGUAAUCAGUGCAGGGGUAUGGCUGUACAACAUUGGAAUUAUUUAUUCAUGUGGCUAAGAGGACCUUUCUUUAGGAUGACCUUGAGAUAACACCCUCUGAAUUUGGACUGAGUAAACAAGCCCUAGCUGAAAUACUCAAAACAGUGUUGAGCAUGAAUGUUCAUCUGAGCGCAUUUGAGAACCCCCAUUUGUCCAGAAUCUUGUGGUUUCAGACUUAAAGUCUGUGGAAUAUCCAUACUCAGCCACCAAAACCUUAACUCAACUAUUUAUCUCCCAAAGUAGGGAUUUCACUUGGAGGGGUCCAAGGAGAGCAUAUUCUGUGCAUAAAAUCUGCUCCCUCAUUCUCAAUGGGUAGCUAUGAUAGAUGUCUUAGAACAGUUGGUCAUGGAACCAACCAGAGAGAAGGCAACAAUCCUGAAUGGUGCUCAGGAACUAGUGCAAGAGGUCAGUGUUGUGUAACCAUUAGGGACAGGGACCAUAGUGUGAUCAAAUUCAGCAUAUAUACUAGUGGAGAAUUGCCAGGUAAGUCCAACAUGGACACUUUGGACUUCAGAAGAGGAAACUUCUCAAAAAUGAGGGGUUUGGUAAAAAGAAAGCUAAAAAGGAAAAUCAGGAGGGUCAAAUCACUCCAGCAAGGAUGGAGUUUAUUUAAAACCACAAUAAAAGAAGUUUGGUUCGGAGCUGUGUGAAAACUGACGAAAAAUUAGUUUCUAAAAUGUAUAAGCUCUUGCUUUUGGAGGAGACAAGAGAUGAAGUGGUUAAAAUGACUAUGGUAAAAUGGGCUCAAGAUGUGGGGUAUAAUAUAGAAAUGGCAGCCUGGGAAAAAUUAUGGAAAACUGAUUUAAAGUUCACUGCAUGUUAUGUUAUAAAAGAAAACUAUUAUAAAAUGAUGUAUAGGUGGUAUUUGACACCUAAAAAUUGACAUUAAUGUAUAAAAAUGUUUCAAACAAAUGUUGGAAAUGUGGACACUCAGAAGGAACUUUUUUUCAUAUGUGGUGGACUUGUAGGAAGGCUAAGGCCUUUUGGGACAUGAUAUAUAAUGAGUUAAAGAAAAAUUUUUAAAUGACAUUUCCUAAGAAGCCAGAAUCCUUCCUGCUGGGAAUAACGCAAGGAGUGUUUUCUACAACCAACUUAACAUUCUUUAUGUACGCUACCACGGCGGCCAGAAUAUUAUAUGCACAGAAAUGGAAGAGUAAUGAACUGCCUUCAAAAGAAGAUUGGCUGAUAAAAAUUUUGGAAUAUGCGGAGAUGGCAAAACUUACAGUACUGAUAAGAGACCAAAAUUUGGAAUGCUUUAAAGAAGACUGGAAACUAUUCUUAUUAUACUUAAAGAAUUACUUUCCUAAUAUUGAUUUUACAACAGGGUUUGAAAUUUAAUAAUAUUAGCAGGUUGGGUAGAUUAAAAUCGGGUUUGUAAGGUUUGGAUCUAUGUUUUGAAAUAUUACUAUAGCAAGGGUUAAUUCUAUAAUUCGUGAUUCACGAGGAGGUGUGAGCAGGAAGUCCAUAUUUGUUUAAUGUGUUGUGAUUGUUUAGAUAUUGUUAAAAUCAAUAAAAAUGUAAAUUUUUUUUAAAAAGAAGAA